AUUGAACGCUGGCGGCAUGCUUUACACAUGCAAGUCGAACGGUAACAGGCCUUCGGGUGCUGACGAGUGGCGAACGGGUGAGUAAUGCAUCGGAACGUACCCAGAGGUGGGGGAUAACGCAGCGAAAGCUGUGCUAAUACCGCAUGUGAUCUGAGGAUGAAAGCGGGGGACCGAGCAGCAAUGUUUGGCCUCGCGCCUUUGGAGCGGCCGAUGUCGGAUUAGCUAGUUGGUGGGGUAAAGGCCUACCAAGGCGACGAUCCGUAGCUGGUCUGAGAGGACGGCCAGCCACACUGGGACUGAGACACGGCCCAGAGGCCUACGGGAGGCAGCAGUGGGGAAUGUUGGACAGUGGGGGCGAGCCUGAUCCAGCAAUGCCGCGUGCGGGAAGAAGGCCUUCGGGUUGUGAACCGCUUUUGGCAGGAACGAAACGGUGUCCGCUAAUACCGGGCGCUAAUGACGGUACCUGCAGAAUAAGCACCGGCUAACUACGUG
rnacentral:rRNA from 1 species